UACGUAGGGGCAAGCGUUGUCCGGAAUCAUUGGGCGUAAAGAGCGUGUAGGCGGUCUGGUAGGUCCGCUGUGAAAACUCGAGCUCAACCUCGAGACGCCGGUGGAAACCAUCAGACUAGAGUCCGGAAGAGGAGAGUGGAAUUCCUGGUGUAGCGGUGAAAUGCGCAGAUAUCAGGAAGAACACCCGUGGCUAAGGCGGCUCUCUAGUACGGUACUGACGCUGAGACGCGAAAGCGUGGGGAGCGAACAGG
rnacentral:rRNA from 1 species